UGGAGUUUGAUCCUGGCUCAGGAUGAACGCUUGCAAUAUACAUAACACAUGCUAGUCGAAUGUUGAUAAAACAUGGCGCACGGGUGCGUAACACAUAAGAAUCUGCCUUAAGGUUUAGAAUAAUCAUAGUUAAGAAUUUACUUAACUAGAAAAUACUAAAUAUUCAAAGAUUAAAUAUCGCCUUAUGAUGAGCUUGUGUAGGAUUAGGUAGUUGGUAGGGUAAAAGCCUACCAAGCCGAUGAUCCUUAGUUGGUCUGAGAGGAUGAUCAGCCACACUGGGACUGAGAUAAGGCCCAGGCUUUUGCCAGCAGUGAGGAAUAUUGGACAAUGGGCGAAAGCUUGAUCCAGUAAUAUUGCGUGAAUGAGGACAGCGCUAAAGAUUUAAACGUGAGUUUAAAUUGGUUGUAAAGUUCUUUCGUUAGUGAGGAUAAUGACUGUAACUAAAGAAGAAAUCCCGGCUAACUUCGUGCCAGCAGCCGCGGUAAUACGAAGGGGAUGAGCGUUAUCCAAAAUGAUUGGGCGUAAAGGGUUCGUAGGUUGUAAUUGUUGUCAUUCGUGAAAGUUUGAUUUUGUCAAAAAUGCGCUUGAUACAUAUUUACUUGAGUAUAUUAGGGGAUAAUAGAAUUCUAUAUGGAAGGGUGAAAUCUAUAGAUAUAUGGAGGAAUGCCAGAGGCGAAAGCGAUUAUCUAGAAUAUAUACUGACACUGAGGAACGAAAGCAUGGGGAGCAAACAGGAUUAGAUACUCUGGUAGUCCAUGCUGUCAAUUAUGAAUGCUGACAUUGGGAGUUUUCUGAUGUUAAGUUAACACGUUAAGCAUUCCGCCUGGGGAGUACGGUCGCAAGAUUGGAACUCAAAGGAAUUGACGGGAGUCUAUACGAGUGGUGGAGCAUGUGGUUUAAUGCGAUAAUACGCGCGAAAUCUUACCAGUUCUUGCAUAUAAUUUUAAAUUCUAUUUAAAGUAGAUAUCUGUUCGAAAUCUGCAAUCAGGUUUAUAACAAAAUUAUACAGGUGCUGCAUGGCUGUCGUCAGCUCGUGCUGUGAAGUGUUUGGUUAAGUCCUAUAACGAGCGCAACUCUUGUUUUAUAUUGUUAAUUGUAUUACUACGUGUAAUCAAAACACUCAUAAAAGACUGCCAAUGAAAAUUGGAGGAAGGUGAGAACGACGUCAAGCCCUUAUGGCCCUUAUGGACUGGGCUACACACGUGCUACAAUGGUAAAUACAAAAAGUUCUACAAUAAAGCGAUUUGGAGUAAAUCUUAAAAAGUUACCGUGUACAGAUUGAAGACUGCAAUUCGUCUUCAUGAAGGUGGAAUCACAAGUAAUCGUAAAUCAGCAUGUUACGGUGAAUAUGUACUUAGACUUUGCACACACCGCCCGUCACAUGCUAGGAGUAAGCUUUGUUUGAAAUAUUAGCCUAUUCUAUAAAAAUUUAUUUUGUUAACAACAUUUAAAUUUUUUAUUUUGUAAAGCUAAUAUUAUUAUAGGGUUUGUAACUGGGAUGAAGUCGUAACAAGGUAGUCGUAUGGGAACAUGUGGCUGGAAUA
rnacentral:rRNA from 1 species